GCGCCCGCCUCUCUCUCUCCUCUCUCCGCCGCCUCUCUCUUUCCCCUUCUUCCCGAUACAGAUCCAACCCAAUCGCCCGUCCCCCGCCGCAGCCACGACGUCACGGCCUGCUCCUCGUGGUGGCUGCGCUGGUGCUCUGCGCCGCGCAGAGCCCCAUCUCACAGCCGCUGUCGGCCGGCGCGCCCAUCGCGUCCCCGCUCCUCCGCCUCGACGCCGACUCUCUCAACCCUCUCUCCAGCCCUAACCCUCUCCCUCCCUCAGAUCUCAAUCCACCACCGUCUCUAUCCCUAUCCCCGCAUAGCCCAACCCAAUCCACCGCCGUCCUCUACCCAGUUCCCUCCCCGUUCCGGCGAGCCCGCUAUGAACCGUCUGCGGGCGGCAGCGCAGCGGGAGCAACACGGGCUUCACCUCCCCGGGCCGUGUCUCCCCCUUCCACCACCGCUCCUCCUCCACCUCUUUCACGGCCUCCCUCCCGGGCAUCGCCCGACAGCAGCCUCGACAGGGACGACCUGGACCCGAACCCGGCCGUGGCCACCACGGAGGCCCUCGCCAAGGUCGACCUCUCCAACGACCCAGACGCCACCGCCACCGCCAAGUCCGGCUCCAGCAAGCCCCGUCAGGCAGCCAGAGGCGGCGGUUGCGACGUGGGCAAGUCGCUCAGCUACCUGUACCGUGCGUGCAGGAUCGCUACCCUCGCCGUGAAGCACAUCGACAUCGCCAUCUCCAUCCUCUCCCGAUUCAUGGAGCCCAAGAAGCUCGCCAGCCUCGCCGAGUUCUGAGACGACCACGCCUACAUCUCCGAGGAGGGAUUCUAUCUAGCAUCCGAUUGACUACACCUCAUCGAUCAAGCCAUGCUCUCCUCAUCAGUCUUUUAAUUUGAGAUCUUGCCUUGGUAGCUGGAUGCCUUGGUGCAAGACAUUCAAGUUUAGAAGGAUAAAAAGGCUGCCAACGGCAAGUGGAUUGUUUGAGGUCGUGGCCUGAUGUGCUCGCCAACAGCGCUAGAUGUGCCCACUUCCUUUCACGCGCAACGCCUUCCACCACCGCCUCCAACCUGACAUGGCUCUCCAUUGCUUAACAUCCCAACACUGGGUGUUCUAGGAAAAAUAAAGGAUGUUGUUCUCGGUGGAGUUGCGCUUGAGGAUGAGCAGAGAAAGAAAUUUAAUCAAAUCCAAUAGAGCGUUCACCCGAUGGCGGAAUACCACGCCGCAGCUUGGGCAGUGGGCGGUUGCGCUAUAUACGUGAGUGACAAACCCGAAAACCAUGACUUCGAUCUGCUGAGGAAGCUUGUGUUUCCUGACGGAUCAAUCCUACGAGCCAAACUGCCCGAGAGACAAACUGCACUAUCGUUGUUGCAGAAAUUCCGUGCGAUGGAAGCUUCUAGAGCCUGUUGGUACUUCCUAGCCAGAAGCCCCACGAGCUCGACGUCCAGCCCUACAACCACCACCCCACGCACAAGAAGGUGCUCUGCUCUUGCUCACGUCUAGCACCAUCUCCGGCGCGGUGGUGCUUGUUGAGGCGACCGGCGUGACGGCGGCGACCACAAGCUCUCCCGUGAGUCGGCUCCAUCUUCUAGCCCUAGCUCCCUAUUUUUUGCUCCUAUAGCAUGCUCUGUUGGUUUAGAACACUAGCAGGAAUAGCCUACCGUGUAUACGUACUAAACAGCAGGAGCUCAAUCACCUUGUGCACUAGCAGCUUGCUUACACAGUUGUCACUUUUGCUUGUGGCAGCCAUUAUGUAGCUGAAUCAUGUCCGUGUCUACUAAUCAUCAGUUCAUAGUAUUUGGCUUCUGUGUGAUGGUAUGCGACUAUUUUAUGGUGAUGUGGAUAUACUUUCUGAUUUAAAGUUACUAAUAUUUUUUGUUUUGAUUCUUUCUCUGGUGCGAGGAAAGCUGUGAGUAGACGUCAAUGAUGCCUACUUGCUUCGCUACUACAGUGAUGCAUGCGCCGGUCAAGCAAGCACACGUGCAUAUACGUACAUGUUAGGAUAGUAGGAGAUGUGCCAUAAUUCCUCUGUCAGGAAAUGUAUUCUUGAGAUGAUUUUGUUAUGUUAUCUAAACCUGGGAGAUGUGUUAUGUGAUGUGAUAUGAUGGAUGAUUUGAAUUCGACAUUGAGUUUUCCUGA